rnacentral:lncRNA from 1 species
GAAACCUGCAUAUGUUGUUUACUAGCAGAUGACAUCUACAAAAGGUAUUUGAAGAACACCGAAACUUGUAAUUUUUUGUAGAUUAGCUAGCAGGUCUGAUAUUUAAAAAGGUAAUUCAGCUAAAGGACAAUUUACUUUUUGUACUUCAGACUAUCUUGAUUGUCAAGGUGUACGAACUGUAAUUUUAAAAUUUAUACUGCCACAUGAUUGUAAAUUUUAGUUGUCUUAAGUUAGUAAUGGGUGAAAAGCUAUUUAUGCUGGAUAUGGGUCAAAAAUGACUAUUAUUUGCAAUAUUGUAACGUAUAUUGCUGCUCUUCUUAAAAUUAAAUAAGGGUUUAAAACCACUUAAUUGGUAAUUGACAACAUCUCAAUUGACAGAUAAGGUGUGCUUGGUAUACAUAUUUUCUUCCAAAGACUUUUCUUUGGUUAGAAACACACAAAAAUUGAAACUAGUAAU